rnacentral:rRNA from 1 species
GGGGAAUUUUCCGCAAUGGGCGCAAGCCUGACGGAGCAACGCCGCGUGAGGGAGGAAGGCCUGUGGGUUGUAAACCUCUUUUCUCAAGGAAGAACACAAUGACGGUACUUGAGGAAUCAGCAUCGGCUAACUCCGUGCCAGCAGCCGCGGUAAGACGGAGGAUGCAAGCGUUAUCCGGAAUUAUUGGGCGUAAAGCGUCCGUAGGUGGUUAUAAAAGUCUGUUGUUAAAGCCCACAGCUCAACUGUGGAUCGGCAAUGGAAACUGUAUGACUUGAGUGUGGUAGGGGUAGAGGGAAUUCCUAGUGUAGCGGUGAAAUGCGUAGAUAUUAGGAAGAACACCAGUGGCGAAGGCGCUCUACUGGGCCAUAACUGACACUGAUGGACGAAAGCUAGGGGAGCGAAUGGGAUUAGAUACCCCUGUAGUC